rnacentral:rRNA from 1 species
AUUGAACGCUGGCGGCAUGCUUUACACAUGCAAGUCGAACGGUAACAGGCCGCAAGGUGCUGACGAGUGGCGAACGGGUGAGUAAUGCAUCGGAACGUGCCCAGACGUGGGGGAUAACUACUCGAAAGAGUAGCUAAUACCGCAUACGAUCUAUGGAUGAAAGCGGGGGACCGUAAGGCCUCGCGCGAUUGGAGCGGCCGAUGUCAGAUUAGGUAGUUGGUGGGGUAAAGGCUCACCAAGCCAACGAUCUGUAGCUGGUCUGAGAGGACGACCAGCCACACUGGGACUGAGACACGGCCCAGACUCCUACGGGAGGCAGCAGUGGGGAAUUUUGGGCAAUGGGCGCAAGCCUGAUCCAGCAAUGCCGCGUGCAGGAAGAAGGCCUUCGGGUUGUAAACUGCUUUUGUACGGAACGAAACGGCUCUGGUUAAUACCCGGGGCUAAUGACGGUACCGUAAGAAUAAGCACCGGCUAACUACGUG